AAUGAACGUUGGCGGCGUGGAUUAGGCAUGCAAGUCGAGCGCGAACCCCGCAAGGGGUGAAAGCGGCGAAAGGGAGAGUAACGCGUGGGUAUCUGCCCUCGGGACUGGGAUAGCUGCGGGAAACUGCAGGUAAUACCAGAUGACGUCCUCGGACCAAAGGUGUGAUUCCGCCUGAGGAUGAGCCCGCGUCCUAUUAGCUAGUUGGUGGGGUAAUGGCCUACCAAGGCAAUGAUGGGUACUGGGUGUGAGAGCACGACCCAGCUCACUGGGACUGAGACACUGCCCAGACACCUACGGGUGGCUGCAGUCGAGAAUCUUCGGCAAUGGGCGAAAGCCUGACCGAGCGACGCCGCGUGUGGGAUGAAGGCCUUCGGGUUGUAAACCGCUGUCAGAGGGGAGGAAUGGGCGGAGGGUAAUCUCUUCGUUUUGACCUAUCCUCAGAGGAAGUACGGGCUAAGUUCGUGCCAGCCGCCGCUGUAA
rnacentral:rRNA from 1 species